GGUCUAGUUUGUAAGAGCAUUCGGUGGAUGCCUUGGUACCAGAAGCCGACGAAGGACGUGGUAGUCUGCGAUAAGCCUCGGGGAGUUGACAAACGAGCUGUGAUCCGAGGGUGUCCGAAUGGGGAAACCUGGCCAGAGUUGUGUCUGGUUACCGGCGUUUGAAUUGAUAGGGCGUCGGGGGGAACGCGGGGAAGUGAAACAUCUUAGUACCCGUAGGAAGAGAUAUUCCGUGAGUAGUGGCGAGCGAAAGCGGAGGAGGCUAAACCAUGUGCGUGUGAUACCCGGCAGGGGUUGCGUAUGUGGGGUUGUGGGAGUCGCACAUUGUCAUGCUGCCGCGUGACUGGCGAGUGAGAAAGUUGUGGUGUAGUCGAAGGGUCUGGGAAGGCCUGGCGUAGUGGGUGAUACCCCCGUAGACGAAACAUCAUGGCCUUGCUGUGUGGCCACCCAAGUAGGACGGGGCCCGUGAAAUCCCGUGUGAAUCUGCCCAGACCACUGGGUAAGCCUAAAUACUUUCUGGUGACCGAUAGUGGAUAGUACCGUGAGGGAAUGGUGAAAAGUACCCCGGGAGGGGAGUGAAAUAGUACCUGAAACCGGAUGCUUACAAUCCGUCAGAGCCUUUCUAAUUGGGGUGAUGGCGUGCCUUUUGAAGAAUGAGCCUGCGAGUUAGUGGUGUGUGGCGAGGUUAACCCGUGUGGGGUAGCCGUAGCGAAAGCGAGUGUGAAUAGCGCGUUGUAGUCGCAUGCUCUAGACCCGAAGCGAAGUGAUCUACCCAUGGGCAGGUUGAAGCGAUGGUAAGACGUCGUGGAGGACCGAACCCACCUAGGUUGAAAACUGGGGGGAUGACCUGUGGGUAGGGGUGAAAGGCCAAUCAAACUUCGUGAUAGCUGGUUCUCCCCGAAAUGCAUUUAGGUGCAGCGUCGUAUGUAGGUUUGCUGGAGGUAGAGCUACUGGAUGGCUGAUGGGCCCCACCGGGUUACUGACGUCAACCAAACUCCGAAUGCCAGUGAAAUUUUUGUGCGGCAGUGAGACUGCGGGGGAUAAGCUUCGUAGUCGAGAGGGAAACAGCCCAGAUCAUCAGCUAAGGCCCCUAAGCGUGUGCUAAGUGGGAAAGGAUGUGGAGUUGCAUAGACAACCAGGAGGUUGGCUUAGAAGCAGCCACCCUUGAAAGAGUGCGUAAUAGCUCACUGGUCAAGUGAUUCUGCGCCGAUAAUGUAGCGGGGCUAAGUACACCGCCGAAGCUGUGGCAACAACAUUUUUGUGUUGUUGGGUAGGGGAGCGUCGUGCACUGCGGUGAAGCGGCCAAGUGAUUGUGUCGUGGAGUGUGCACGAGUGAGAAUGCAGGCAUGAGUAACGAAUGACGGGUGAGAAACCCGUCCGCCGAAUGACCAAGGGUUCCAGGGCAACGUUAAUCGGCCCUGGGUAAGUCGGGACCUAAGGCGAGGCCGUCAGGCGUAGUCGAUGGACAAGGAGUUGAUAUUCUCCUACCGGCAAAACACCGCCCGUACCGAGCCCAGUGAUGCUAAACACCCAAGACCGCUACGUGUCUCCUUCGGGAGCGUGUGGUGGUUGCGCGUGUGACCCGAUCUGGUAGUAGGUAAGCGUAGUAACAGGGGUGACGCAGGAAGGUAGCCCGGCGCACUUAAUGGCAAUGUGUGUCUAAGGAUGUAGCACGAGGUGUAGGCAAAUCCGCACCUCACAUAGUGUGAGAUCUGAUGGUGGCCCCAUUUUUGGGGGAUAACAGGGUGAUCCUAUGCUGCCGAGAAAAGCCUCGACGCGAGGUGUGAGCCGCCCGUACCCUAAACCGACUCAGGUGGUCAAGUAGAGAAUACUAAGGCGAUCGAGAUAAUCAUGGUUAAGGAACUCGGCAAAAUGCCCCCGUAACUUUGGAAGAAGGGGGGCCCGCCUGGUGAAAACCCUUUACGGGUUUAGCUGGUGUGGGCCGCAGAGACCAGGGAGAAGCGACUGUUUAUCAAAAACAUAGGUCCGUGCGAAGUCGCAAGACGCUGUAUACGGACUGACGCCUGCCCGGUGCUGGAAGGUUAAGAGGACCGGUUAACCACGCCUCGCGUGUGGUGAAGCUGAGAAUUUAAGCCCCAGUAAACGGCGGUGGUAACUAUAACCAUCCUAAGGUAGCGAAAUUCCUUGUCGGGUAAGUUCCGACCUGCACGAAUGGCGUAACGACUUCUCCGCUGUCUCAACCAUGAACUCGGUGAAAUUGCACUACGAGUAAAGAUGCUCGUUUCGCGCAGCAGGACGGAAAGACCCCGGGACCUUUACUAUAGCUUGGUAUUGGUGUUCGAUGCGGUUUGUGUAGGAUAGGUGGGAGACUAUGAAGCAUCCACGUCAGUGGGUGUGGAGUCAUCGUUGAAAUACCACUCUGAUCGUAUUGAAUGUCUAACCUCGGUCCGUGAUCCGGAUCAGGGACAGUGCCUGGUGGGUAGUUUAACUGGGGCGGUUGCCUCCUAAAGAGUAGCGGAGGCGCUCAAAGGUUCCCUCAGCCUGGUUGGUAAUCAGGUGUCGAGUGUAAGUGCACAAGGGAGCUUGACUGUGAGACGUACAUGUCAAACAGGGACGAAAGUCGGAACUAGUGAUCCGGCCAUGGCUUGUGGAAGCGUGGUCGCUCAACGGAUAAAAGGUACCCCGGGGAUAACAGGCUGAUCUUGCCCAAGAGUUCAUAUCGACGGCAUGGUUUGGCACCUCGAUGUCGGCUCGUCACAUCCUGGGGCUGGAGUAGGUCCCAAGGGUUGGGCUGUUCGCCCAUUAAAGUGGUACGCGAGCUGGGUUCAGAACGUCGUGAGACAGUUCGGUCCCUAUCCGCUGCGCGCGCAGGAAACUUGAGAAGGGCUGUCCCUAGUACGAGAGGACCGGGACGGACGAACCUCUGGUGUGCCAGUUGUACCGCCAGGUGCAUCGCUGGUUAGCUACGUUCGGCAAGGAUAACCGCUGAAAGCAUCUAAGCGGGAAGCCUGCUUCAAGAUAAGGUUUCCAUCCACCCUUGUGGUGGUGAAGGCCCCCCACAGACCAUGGGGUUGAUAGGCCGGAAGUGUAAGCACAGCAAUGUGUUCAGCUGACCGGUACUAAUGGCCAAAAACUAACCAA
rnacentral:rRNA from 1 species